CGUCACGUUUUGUAAUGGUUAGCAUUCAGGACUUUGAAUCCUGCGACGGGAGUUCAAAUCUCCUUACGACCU
rnacentral:tRNA from 1 species